rnacentral:rRNA from 1 species
UGGGGAAUUUUGGACAAUGGGCGAAAGCCUGAUCCAGCAAUGCCGCGUGUGUGAAGAAGGCCUUCGGGUUGUAAAGCACUUUUGUCCGGAAAGAGAUCCUUGGCUCUAAUACAGUCGGGGGAUGACGGUACCGGAAGAAUAAGCACCGGCUAACUACGUGCCAGCAGCCGCGGUAAUACGUAGGGUGCAAGCGUUAAUCGGAAUUACUGGGCGUAAAGCGUGCGCAGGCGGUUUGCUAAGACCGAUGUGAAAUCCCCGGGCUCAACCUGGGAACUGCAUUGGUGACUGGCAGGCUAGAGUAUGGCAGAGGGGGGUAGAAUUCCACGUGUAGCAGUGAAAUGCGUAGAGAUGUGGAGGAAUACCGAUGGCGAAGGCAGCCCCCUGGGCCAAUACUGGCGCUCAUGCACGAAAGCGUGGGGAGCAAACAGGAUUAGAUACCCUGGUAGUCCACGCCCUAAACGAUGUCAACUAGUUGUUGGGGAUUCAUUUCCUUAGUAACGUAGCUAACGCGUGAAGUUGACCGCCUGGGGAGUACGGUCGCAAGAUUAAAACUCAAAUGA